AGUGAACGCUGGCGGUAGGCCUAACACAUGCAAGUCGAACGGCAGCACAGUAAGAGCUUGCUCUUACGGGUGGCGAGUGGCGGACGGGUGAGGAAUACAUCGGAAUCUACUUUUUCGUGGGGGAUAACGUAGGGAAACUUACGCUAAUACCGCAUACGACCUACGGGUGAAAGCAGGGGAUCUUCGGACCUUGCGCGAUUGAAUGAGCCGAUGUCGGAUUAGCUAGUUGGCGGGGUAAAGGCCCACCAAGGCGACGAUCCGUAGCUGGUCUGAGAGGAUGAUUAGCCACACUGGAACUGAGACACGGUCCAGACUCCUACGGGAGGCAGCAGUGGGGAAUAUUGGACAAUGGGCGCAAGCCUGAUCCAGCCAUACCGCGUGGAUGAAGAAGGCCUUCGGGUUGUAAAGCCCUUUUGUUGGGAAAGAAAAGCAGCGGGUUAAUACCCCGCUGUUCUGACGGUACCCAAAGAAUAAGCACCGGCUAACUUCGUG
rnacentral:rRNA from 1 species